AUUGAGCGCUGGCGGCAUGCCUUACACAUGCAAGUCGAACGGCAGCACGGGUGCUUGCACCUGGUGGCGAGUGGCGAACGGGUGAGUAAUACAUCGGAACAUGUCCUGUAGUGGGGGAUAGCCCGGCGAAAGCCGGAUUAAUACCGCAUACGAUCUACGGAUGAAAGCGGGGGACCUUCGGGCCUCGCGCUAUAGGGUUGGCCGAUGGCUGAUUAGCUAGUUGGUGGGGUAAAGGCCUACCAAGGCGACGAUCAGUAGCUGGUCUGAGAGGACGACCAGCCACACUGGGACUGAGACACGGCCCAGACUCCUACGGGAGGCAGCAGUGGGGAAUUUUGGACAAUGGGCGAAAGCCUGAUCCAGCAAUGCCGCGUGUGUGAAGAGGGCCUUCGGGUUGUAAAGCACUUUUGUCCGGAAAGAAAUCCUUGGCCCUAAUACGGUCGGGGGAUGACGGUACCGGAAGAAUAAGCACCGGCUAACUACGUG
rnacentral:rRNA from 1 species